UGGGGAAUAUUGGGCAAUGGGCGAAAGCCUGACCCAGCGACGCCGCGUGAAGGACGAAGGCCUUCGGGUUGUAAACUUCUUUGGGGAGGGACGAAAAUGACGGUACCUCCAGAACAAGCCACGGCUAACUACGUGCCAGCAGCCGCGGUAAUACGUAGGUGGCAAGCGUUAUCCGGAUUUACUGGGUGUAAAGGGCGCGCAGGCGGCCCCAAAAGUCAGAUGUGAAAGAUCAAGGCUUAACUUUGACAUGUCAUCUGAAACUUUGGGACUUGAGUAUCAGAGGGGAAAGCGGAAUUCCUGGUGGAGCGGUAAAAUGCGCAGAGAUCAGGAGGAACACCGGUGGCGAAGGCGGCUUUCUGGCUGACAACUGACGCUGAGGCGCGAAAGCGUGGGGAGCAAACAG
rnacentral:rRNA from 1 species